GAGUUUUUGCAAAAGAGGUCCUUAGUCUCUCUUUCGGCAGGAGCCCUCAACAGAAAACAAAAAAAAAACUCCCUCCCUUAUUCACUCUCGAGCUCUCUCUUGAGCAGAGGGGACGAAAAAAAUAACACUCCCUCUCAAUUCUCUCUCGGCUGGGGACUUGGACAGAAAAGACGCAAGAAGAAAAAAGGAAAACAUUCUUGGCUCUCUAUUUGCUCUCAACCAGAACAACACACACCAACAGAGAGGACUUUAACAAAAAGAACUCCAGCAGCUAUCGGUUAGGCUAUUGGAACUUGGCAAUUUCACAAAAAAAAAAACUCUGGCCAGGGGAUCAAUCUCUUCGUUGAGGUUUACCAACUUGUAUCAUUAGGGGGUACAAGGAGGAACAAGUAGCUGCUAUUUUCCUGCCUCCAGUGAUAUCAAACUUGACUUGAAGCAUGUGUACAGGAAGGGCUGCUUUUCGUGUUUGUUUUUUCCAUGGCAAUCUCAUGGCUGCUCUUGGCCUGUGAUCCUUUGUACUUGUACCAGGUAGCACAAAUCAUGAAGUAUCCGAAGUUUAUGACCUCCAAAGCAGCGAUCAGGUAGUAAAAGUAAUCCAAUCUUGCCUUGUUGAGGUCUUGAUCUAGCCAACUUCCUCCUGAUGCAUCUUUGGUCACCUUGUGGACAACUGUUAUUAUUAAGCUGCACAAAUAAUUAGACGAUGCGAAACCACAAAACAAGCAAGAUCCAGCAAAACUUCUCAUGUUUUCAGGGAACUGUUUGUAGAAGAAUUCAAUUUGAGCAAUGAGAGUAAAGCCUUCUGAAAUCCCUGAUAGGGCCAUCUGAGGUAUGAACCAAGAGGCACUCAAGGAAGAAAUUUUGCCUUUUCUCGGUGCAACGCCUAUUGUUGGCUCAGUAAGAGCUACUCUUCUCCUCCACUCUUCCACUGCACCAGAUAGGAUCAUGGUGGCUAUUCCAACUAUAAUGCCAAAGCCCAUUCUUUGAAGGAUAGUGAUGCCAUUUUCUUCCUUGGUAAUUUUUCGUAAACAUGGAAUCAUGAUCCUGUCAUAUAUGGGUAUCCAUAUCGUAAGGCUCAACAUCUGAAAGAUUUGGUAAGAUGCUGCUGGAAUUUUGAAGCUGGCAUGUCCUACUCUUCUAUCGGCUUGUGUCGCUUGGAAAACUACAAAAGUCUGCAGCUGGUUCAGGACAACGUAAUAUAUGAUGCCGGCAAUCCAUAUUGGAAGCACUCUAACCACACACUUCAUUUCUUCCACCUGCUGAAUAGUGCAAAGUUUCCAAGGAUUGGAUGCUGAGCCAUCGCUGUUGAUACGAUCUUCAGAUGUUAUGAUUGCUGCUCUGUUGAGAAACCUGAGGGGUUUUAUGCUGCUUGUUAAAGGUAGAAUGAAAGGAGCAUUUACUUUAGAAGUGUUAAAAACUGAAUAAAGUCUCAUUUUUUCGAGAACAUUGAAGAAGCUGGGAGUCUUUUAAGACAUUACCUGAAUUGAUCGGUGUAUGGAAGCUUUGAGUUAGUCGAGUUCGGGGAAAUGUAAUCAAAGAGAGACUCCGAUGGCUGAUCUGGUAAAUGCAAUUGCCUCUUUUUGCUUGCCGCCA